CUAUGCGCCUUGCCAGCCCGCUCAGGUGUGCCAGCCGCCGCGGUAAUACGGAGGAUGCGAGCGUUAUCCGGAUUUAUUGGGUUUAAAGGGUGCGUAGGCGGUCCGUUAAGUCAGCGGUAAAAUUGCGGGGCUCAACCCCGUCGAGCCGUUGAAACUGGCAGACUUGAGUUGGCGAGAAGUACGCGGAAUGCGCGGUGUAGCGGUGAAAUGCAUAGAUAUCACGCAGAACUCCGAUUGCGAAGGCAGCAUACCGGCGCCCUACUGACGCUGAGGCACGAAAGCGUGGGUAUCGAACAGG
rnacentral:rRNA from 1 species